rnacentral:rRNA from 1 species
CCAAUAGCGUAUAUUAAAGUUGUUGCAGUUAAAAAGCUCGUAGUUGAAUUUCGGGAUUGGCGCAUCGGUCGUGCCUCACGGGGUAUGAACUGGUGCAGUCAAUUUCUCACCUUCUGGAGAACCGCGAUGUCCUUAAUUGGAUGCCGCGGGGAACCAGGACCUUUACUUUGAAAAAAUUAGAGUGUUUAAAGCAGGCAUUUUUGCUUGAAUACAUUAGCAUGGAAUAAUAAAAUAGGACGGCAUGGUUCUAUUUUGUUGGUUUCUAGGACCACCGUAAUGAUUAAUAAGGAUAGUUGGGGGCAUUAGUAUUCAAUUGUCAGAGGUGAAAUUCUUGGAGUUAUUGAAGACUAACUACUGCGAAAGCAGUUGCCAAGGAUGUUUUCAUUAAUCAAGAACGAAAGUUAGGGGAUCGAAGACGAUCAGAUACCGUCGUAGUCUUAACCAUAAACUAUGCCGACUAGGAAUCAGACGAUGUUAAUUUUUUAAUGACUCGUUUGGCACCUUACGGGAAACCAAAGUGUUUGGGUC